rnacentral:rRNA from 12 species
ACUUGCGUGCAAGUGCCUGAAAGCACCCAAUCUUGGAAGCUAAGCGGGGACUGUGCCUGGUUAGUACUUAGGAGACCAACUUGGAAGACCAGCGGCCAAUA